rnacentral:rRNA from 1 species
UACCGUACCCGUACCGUAAACCGACACAGGUGGAUGAGGAGAGAAUCCUAAGGCCGGCGGAAGAAGCAUUGUCAAGGAACUCGGCAAAAUGGCCCCGUAACUUAGGGAUAAGGGGUGCCUGGGAAACCAGGCCGCAGAGAAUAGGCUCAAGCAACUGUUUAGCAAAAACACAGGUCUAUGCGAAACCGAAAGGUGAGGUAUAUGGGCUGACGCCUGCCCGGUGCUGGAAGGUUAAGAGGAGAGGUUAGCGGUAACGCGAAGCUUUGAAUUUAAGCCCCAGUAAACGGCGGCCGUAACAAUAACGGUCCUAAGGUAGCGAAAUUCCUUGUCGGGUAAGUUCCGACCCGCACGAAAGGCGUAAUGAUUUGAGCGCUGUCUCGACAAUGCAUCCGGUGAAAUUGAAGUACCAGUGAAGAUGCUGGUUACCUGCGCCAGGACGGAAAGACCCCAUGGAGCUUUACUCCAGUCUGGUACUGGGACUCGGUAUUGCAUGUACAGGAUAGGUGGGAGGCUGAGAAAUGGUAACGCCAGUUGCCAUGGAGCCGCUGUUGGGAUACCACCCUUGCAGUAUUGGGUUUCUAACCAGCCGCCGUGAUCCGGCGGUGGGACAAUGCCAGACGGGGAGUUUGACUGGGGCGGUCGCCUCCGAAAGGGUAUCGGAGGCGCCCAAAGGUUCCCUCAGAAUGGACGGAAACCAUUCGAAGAGUGCAAAGGCAGAAGGGAGCUUGACUGCGACACCGACGGGUGGAGCAGGUACGAAAGUAGGGCUUAGUGAUCCGGUGGUAUUAAGUGGGAAUGCCAUCGCUCAACGGAUAAAAGCUACCCUGGGUUAACAGGCUUAUCACUCCCAAGAGUUCACAUCGACGGAGUGGUUUGGCACCUCGAUGUCGGCUCAUCGCAUCCUGGGGCUGUAGUAGGUCCCAAGGGUUGGGCUGUUCGCCCAUUAAAGCGGUACGCGAGCUGGGUUCAGAACGUCGUGAGACAGUUCGGUCCCUAUCCGGCGUGGGCGUAGGAUAUCUGAGAGGAGCUGUCCUUAGUACGAGAGGACCGGGAUGGACGGGCCGCUGGUGCAUCGGUUAGACUGCCAAGUCUACGGCCGAGUAGCCAAGCCCGGAAGGGAUAAACGCUGAAGGCAUCUAAGCGUGAAGCCCCCCUUAAGAUGAGAUAUCCCAUUCGAAAGAAGUAAACCCCCUUGAAGACGACGAGGUAGAUAGGGCAGAGGUGGAAGUGCAGCAAUGCAUGGAGCUGACUGUUACUAAUCGGGUGAGGGCUUGACC